rnacentral:rRNA from 1 species
GACGAACGCUGGCGGCGUGCUUAACACAUGCAAGUCGAACGGAAAGGCCUGCUUUCCCUUGUGGAUUGCGGGUACUCGAGUGGCGAACGGGUGAGUAACACGUGAGUGAUCUGCCCCCAACUUGGGUAUAAGCCUGGGAAACUGGGUCUAAUUCCCGAUAGGACUGCAGGGUGGUGCCUGUGGUGGAAAACGAUUUUCUAGUGGUUGGGGAUGAGCUGGCGGCCUAUCAGCUUGUUGGUGGGGUAAUGGCCUACGACGGCGGCGACGGGUAGCCGGCCUGGGAGGGUGGACGGGCGAAUUGGGACUGAGAUACGGCCCAGACUCCUACGGGAGGCAGCGGUGGGGAAUAAUGGACAAUGGGCGGAAGCCUGAUGCAGCGACGCAGCGUGGAGGAUGACGGCCUUCGGGUUGUAAGCUCCUUUCGACCGCGAAGAGGCCACCUGGUUGGGAGGGUGGUGACGGUAGUGGUAGAAGAAGCACCGGCUAACUACGUG